UAUAACAGUGGCAGGAGGAGGAGAGCAAAGCUAUUGAGCCAGCGAGGAGUGAAGCUGAGCCUGGCCUCACACGCUCCUAGAGGACCACCUCCUGAGACAGAGUUCUUUUUCCCCCUUCUUCUUCUUUCUCCAAGCUCCCCUCCUGCCCUCCCUCCCUGCCCAGUACAAUGCAUUCUUGAGUGGCAGCGUCUGGACUCCAGGCAGCCCCAGAGAACCGGAGCAAGCCAAAGAGAGAGGACUGGAGCCAAGACACUCUGGUGGGGGAGCUUGGAUGCCUGGCUUCCUUUGAGGACAUCUUUGGAACGAGGGUGGCUUUGGGGUGGGGAGUUGUACUGCAGGGAAUCCAGCCAGGCCCCAAGAUGGACACUUCUGGGCACUUCCAUGACUCCGGGGUGGGGGACCUGGAUGAAGACCCCAAGUGCCCCUGUCCAUCCUCCGGGGAUGAGCAGCAGCAGCAGCCGCCGCCGCCGCCGCCACCAGCACCCCCAGCAGCCCCCCAGCAGCCCCCAGGACCCCCGUUGCAGCCUCAGCCUCCGCAGCUUCAGCAGCAGCAGCAGCCGCCGCAUCCCCUGUCUCAGAUCGCCCAACUCCAGAGCCAGCCCAUCCACCCCGGCCUGCUACACUCCUCUCCUACUGCUUUCAGGGGCCCCCCUUCAUCCAACUCCACCGCCAUCCUCCACCCUUCCUCCAGGCAAGGCAGCCAGCUCAAUCUCAAUGACCACUUGCUUGGCCACUCUCCAACUUCCACAGCCACAAGUGGGCCUGGUGGAGGCGGCCGGCACCGGCAGGCCAGCCCCCUGGUGCACCGGCGGGACAGCAACCCCUUCACAGAGAUCGCCAUGAGCUCCUGCAAGUACAGCGGCGGGGUCAUGAAGCCCCUCAGCCGGCUCAGCGCCUCCCGGAGGAACCUCAUCGAGGCUGAGCCCGAGGGCCAGCCCCUCCAGCUCUUCAGCCCCAGCAACCCCCCGGAGAUCGUCAUCUCCUCCCGGGAGGACAACCAUGCCCACCAGACCCUGCUCCAUCACCCCAAUGCUGCCCACAACCACCAGCACGCCGGCGCCACCGCCAGCAGCACCACCUUCCCCAAAGCCAACAAGCGGAAAAACCAAAACAUUGGCUAUAAGCUGGGACACAGGAGGGCCCUGUUUGAAAAGAGGAAGCGACUGAGUGACUAUGCUCUGAUUUUUGGGAUGUUUGGAAUUGUUGUUAUGGUGAUAGAGACCGAGCUCUCUUGGGGUUUGUACUCAAAGGAUUCCAUGUUUUCGUUGGCCCUGAAAUGCCUUAUCAGUCUGUCCACCAUCAUCCUUUUGGGUUUGAUCAUCGCCUAUCACACACGUGAAGUCCAGCUCUUCGUGAUCGACAAUGGUGCGGACGACUGGCGGAUAGCCAUGACCUACGAGCGCAUCCUCUACAUCAGCUUGGAGAUGCUGGUGUGCGCCAUCCACCCCAUUCCUGGCGAGUACAAGUUCUUCUGGACGGCGCGCCUUGCCUUCUCCUACACACCCUCGUGGGCGGAGGCCGACGUGGACAUCAUCCUGUCCAUCCCGAUGUUCCUGCGCCUGUACCUGAUCGCCCGCGUCAUGCUACUGCACAGCAAGCUCUUCACCGACGCCUCGUCCCGCAGCAUCGGGGCCCUCAACAAGAUCAACUUCAACACGCGCUUCGUCAUGAAGACCCUCAUGACCAUCUGCCCCGGCACCGUGCUCCUCGUGUUCAGCAUCUCACUGUGGAUCAUCGCUGCCUGGACCGUCCGCGUCUGCGAAAGGUACCAUGACCAGCAGGACGUAACUAGUAACUUUCUGAGUGCCAUGUGGCUCAUCUCUAUCACAUUCCUUUCCAUUGGUUAUGGGGAUAUGGUGCCCCACACAUACUGUGGGAAAGGUGUCUGUCUUCUCACGGGCAUCACGGGUGCGGGCUGCACUGCCCUGGUGGUGGCCGUGGUGGCCCGAAAGCUGGAACUCACCAAAGCAGAGAAGCACGUUCACAACUUCAUGAUGGACACUCAGCUCACCAAACGGAGAAACAAACAACACGAAAGGAGUGGCUCUUACAGAGAGAGGAUUCUCAAAGCUGGCAAGACUGGAAAGAUCAAGAAUGCUGCAGCCAAUGUCCUUCGGGAAACGUGGCUAAUCUAUAAACACACAAAGCUGCUAAAGAAGAUUGACCACGCCAAAGUCAGGAAACACCAGAGGAAGUUCCUCCAAGCAAUCCACCAACUGAGGAGCGUCAAGAUGGAACAGAGGAAGCUGAGUGACCAAGCUAACACCCUGGUGGACCUUUCCAAGAUGCAGAACGUCAUGUAUGACUUAAUCACGGAACUCAAUGAUCGGAGCGAAGAUCUGGAGAAACAAAUCGGCAGUCUGGAGUCUAAGCUGGAGCACCUCACCACCAGCGUCAAUUCCCUGCCCCUGCUCAUCGCGGACACCCUGCGCCAGCAGCAGCGGCAGUUCCUGUCUGCCCUCACGGAGGCCCGGGGCGUCAGCGUGGCAGUGGGCACCACCCACACCCCACUCUCCGACAGCCCAAUCGGGGUGCCUCUACUCGGGAGCAGGAAGAGGAGAUGACAGGAAGCGACGCCUCUGGUAGGGCCCUUGCGGCACAGUUGGUGGAGAACAGACACCCACGUUCAAUCUCAGGAAUGGUGCUGCUGUUUUCAGUGACAGCUGAACAUAUAAACAGACCAAUAAGCAGAUGAAAUAACCAUGCAGUUUCUUUGUGGUGUUAGUUCAUUUCACAAAGAAAUGAAGAGCACUGACAGGUCAACCUGAGCAUGCCAAUCCCAAUCAUCUAACCUACAGCCCUCAAUUCUUAAUUCCUAGUCACCCUUCCCAUUCCCCCGUAACCCUGUGAUGUGUGUGUGUGUGUGUGUGUGUGUGUAUGUGCACGUGCACACAAAUAGGGAUUUAAUCUGAAUUUCAAACAAAUGGCAUAUGCGAGAUUCCACUGCUACUCCUCCUGCCAAAAAGUGUGUGCAGACUGUCAUUGACCCAUCGCUGUCUGUGGGUGACUCUUCUUUAACCCACCCCUAAUGCUAUUCACUUAGGUAAAUCCUGAUGACCAACCUAGCAACACUAGCAAAGAGAGUGGUUGGAGAUAUUUCCAGUAGCAGUGGCCACUGGCAUGCUAGAAACAUAUAGGCAUUUGUAGCAUGACUGGACCUAUUGGUAGUGCAAUAGCUACGUAUGGUUUUUAUCCUUGGCGAAAGAGUACUUACUCUUCGGAAAAAAAAAAAAAAAAAAGGAUCAAAUCUGCAUGUUGAUCCUGCAAUGGUAAAUGGGAGGCUGCUUCUCUGUACUGGUUUUUUUAGCUUUAUGUGGGGAAGUUGCCCAUUCUCCUGCAAGUACAAUCAACCCUUGAUGACUUAGGUAUUGAUUAUCCAGAGUGUAGCUCACCCAGGUUUCCUUCCUACAGCCCAUCUUUUGGCUAAUUCCACUGAGCCUCAGCAUCUUAGUCAGAUGGGAAAAGGGGGCAGGUGGAUUCUCAUGCCAUGCCUUCUUGUUCUGUAAUUUCAAGUUUGGUGGUGGAGGAGGUUUAAUUAUCUACUCAAGAAUUGGCUAUAUGGAAAAACUAUUAAUUACAGUAACCUCACUCCAGUACUGAACUGAUUGACUUCUGCCCACUCCUGGAAGGAUGACCCAGUGGCAGAGCCCCUACUAUAAUCCUUCUGAUAACUCAGUGUCAGGUAAAAGUACUCUAAUAUUCCCUAAAAUAUCUAGACACUUGAAUUAAAAAUACAGAGCCACCCCCUCAUCGCUUAAGCCAUAUUAUAGCUUCAUGUACUGUAAAGUCAGGGAUGUACUGUGAUACUUUAAGACCACUGAUCUCAGUGGAAUUUCAGGACAUAGCAUCAGUUGGUAAAUUAUACCAGACUAGGGACUCACUCCUCCUUAGAUUGAAGUCCAAAUAAAAAUCUGCAUCUUUGGAUCAAAGGCCACAUAUGUGUGAUCAUCAUCAAUAAAUUUAUCAUGAAGUGUCUAUGAACUGCUCUUGCCAUCCUCAUAAUAUGUAACUUCAUGACAUCAUAUCUCUAGAAAUGCUAAUGCAAUGCAAAAGAACAAGAGGGAUAAGGCCCUGCAUCACCACUAACUUCUGACCUCAGCAAGUACCAGUGGUGUAACAACAAUCUCAUAACUGAAGGAGGUAUAGAAAAUGUCCGUGCAAGUGAUUUCCAAAGUGCUGAGCAAGUGCAAACUAUUGCUAUUUAUUAAAGGCCAAGAAGAAACAGCAUUGAAGAAACAAUGAUUUUCAUAUAUAGUAUUUGAGGCUUUCCCCCUUAGAUUUUUGAUAAUUUCUUGUGAAUAAGUAAUGAUGGAAGAGAAGAAAACUAGAGAGGCAGAAUCCGAAUAAAUGAAACUCUAACACUGGAUCCACAUCUUUGGCCAAUGAAUAUAACCACCUCAUACCUCAAUUUCUCUAUGCUUAAAAUGAAGGUAACAAUUAAUAGUCUUAAGUACAAAGUAUUCAAUAGAUUUUAAAAUGAGAUCACUAUUGCCAACAACAGCAGCCCAAACUGACUCUGUCAAGUCCACACUUUGAUGUUGCCUUUGAAUGUAGUCAAUAGUUACCAAAAAGUAAUUCUUACAUAUCACUCUAUGUGAAAUUAGCAGGGAGAAGUAUGGGAUUAGCACAUAGUCCCAGGACCUCUCUCCUUCAGAGCAUACCUCAACAAAGAGUGCACCCCGAAUUAAGAAUCAGUGUUUCAUCCCAGAACCCAUGGUGUUGCUACCAUCACAGUACCACAACUGAGACACUAUGAAGUCAUUGCACUACCAGUAGGUUACUGCUUUUUUAAAGUUACUGCUUUUAAAUCCUAGAAUACGUCCCAAUUCUACACCAUCAUCCUACUUCCCUGGAUGUUGCUUAGAAGCAGAUGAAGGCUCCGUCAGUGGCCAUUUGGCUGCCCCUAUUGACUCUGUGGCAUUCGGUUUCAGUACCUUAGACAGCUAUCUGGUGGCUUCCUGGUAGGCGGGAACAGCCCCUUCCCUUCCCUGCAGUCAGUCAGCUUAAUGACGCCCUGGACAGUAUCCCUUCCUUCUCUACUGCCGCCAAAGUAAACACUGUGGGAACGGGAUCAUUGAUACCACUAAGAAAGGAAUGUUACAGGGAUAGCAAUAUUAACUGUCUGCCUCUGGCAGUAGAAUAUAGGUGAGUGCUCUUCAUCCUGAAAGCUUGUGCCAGGCUGCAUGAAUAGUUAACACUAAACUCCUGUCAGACAAGUGAUAUGUAGAUUUUUACUAAAAUAGACCGAAGCUUAUUAAAAGUACUCAGUGCAAUGGUAUAUAAAUAUAUACAGAUAGAGAAAAAAAAAUAACUGUGAUCUUUUUUUCUUACACCAUUACUGGAAAUGCCCAAACAUGAACUGGAGUUCCCUCUGAACAAAACCAUUAUCAAAUCAUCAACGUAUGACCUCCAAAUCUAGGUGCCAAGUGCCCUGCCACAGUUGUUUACACACCUGAGAAACGUGUUCUGGAAGCUGUACUCUUGGGCCUGGACCAUGUGUUGAAACAAACAAAAGAGACAUUGUGACCAACCAAGCUGAUGGAGGAAAAGCACAAAAUUCAACACCAACCUAUAGUUCGGAUCCCAAAGAGAUGCUGAAUUUAUAGCCAAAAAAAAAAAAAAAAUAUAUAUAUAUAUAUAUAUAUAUAUAUUGACAAAGCAAAUAUCAAUCUGAUCGGAACAGCCAACAUCCAAGUUCACAGAAGAAGGACAGGGAAUAAACAACAUUCUCUAGCUGUGUCAUAUUGUCUCCGUUUUUGAAUCUCAACCAGGACUGAUCCACCUUCAUCAGACACACUUUUUAAUGGCGCAACAACUCAAUGCUGGUCCCAGACUCUCCAUUCUGCACUGACCAGAAGAGAACAACAAAAGAGAGCAACAGGAUGUUAAUGGAGGAAAUAUUUUCAUGGUGAACUCUGAAACUGAUGUGUUUAUAUUCAGAAUCAGAUGAGCUUCAAUAUGAAUUUGCAUCUUGCCUCUGUACUGCUUGCUAUUUUUUAAUGAUAGGAGAAAGUAUAACAGUUUAUUUUAAAUAUGAAAUAUAUUGCUAUAUUAUAAAAUAUAUUGUAACUUUCAACUAACGUUUUGUAUCAAACUAGUCUUUAGCAGGUCCGGUGUCAGCCUGCUCUCCCAACGACUGUUUCUGAGUACACAUCACUGUUAGUGAUUGCCUGACACCCAGACCAAGGGUCCUCAGCCUACAGAACUGCCAUAUUCUAAUUCUCUGAGACGUGACUAUUAGACACAGAAGAACAUUGUUCCCAGCUUAGAUGACUAAUUCUACCCUAAAUUCUUUCAAGCCAUUUCAGAAGAGAUUUUAAAAGCCAUCACUCCUUUAGUAGCUGUGCAAAGCCAGUUUAAUAAAAGUGCAGGCUCUUUCUAUAUCAAUGCAAAGACCCUCUUCCAUAAAUGAUAUGUCUCAAACACAGUCAACUGUUGUUUCCUUUGGCAACUUCAGAAUGGGGCAUAAGGAAGAGUCUUGUUCUCCUAUGACACAAAAGACUCAAAAUUCUAGGCAUUAUAAGUUUCUCUGUGUCAGAGUAUAACUGGGAUUGGAAUUCCAUUUACCUGGGGCCCAAUGAGAGGCUGGUGUGCAGGCGUGCUUUCCUGAGUCAGCAGUGCCCUAGAGUGUGCGGGGUUUGCACGUUUAUCCACAACACUGAGCACAGCUCCUGAGGGACUGACGGGAAUAGGUGGGACACGCAGAGAGCUGGGCUUCCUUUCCUGCUAGUUUACUCCAGCGGGGAGGAAGGAAGAGUUUCAAUCAAGAUAUUUUCCUUUACUGGCAAAAUUGUGGCAAAUGCUCUACUUUGGCAACUAUGAUAUCCAUGCCCCGCCUUCUCUGAGACACACGUGUAGAAUUUCUCACUUCCCUCCUUUGACUGACCAAACGACUAUUUGUAGAUGAAAACAGGAUGUGUUUGGUUAUAGAACAGAGGUUUCCUAGAAUCAGUGGGCCUCCUCCCAAGGAGGACCCUCAUUUGUUACCAUCACUCGGUAUAGUAUUGCACAGGUGCAAACCAAGUAGCAUCAGGGUAAAUUCAACUGAGUAUGCACAUCUCUUCCCUUCACAAUCUCUGACAAUUCACACAGAUAUACUGAUAGUGCAAAAUGGCAGGUUUUCUCCUGGGAAAAAGGCUGGAACCCUCUCACACUUCCAUUCAUUUGAGCUUAAAUAUAGGUAAGGCUGGGGCUUCAAUGGUAUUAGUCAUGCCAUUCGAAAGAGAAAUAUCUAAAUGCCCAGUUUCAAUCUGCUUGUGUAGCUGAGACCUAACUUGGACACACAUUUUAUUUUUAUUGAGCUGAGUUCUCUCAGUUCUCUCUCUCUCUGUACUACUCCUCAGUUACAUGUUAGGCAGAGCUUCAUUAAAGCCAUCAGAACUCCAGGGCACCAGUUUUUAGCAAGUUACUCACUCACUGGGUGAUGGAAAUUAGUUUAUUCUCAAUUUUAUAAUUGACUGAUGAAUGUACUGGUGGUAAUUGACUUAUCUCGUAAUACUUUUCUGCUACUAAAUAGAACUGUCUCUUUUGGCUUUUCCUUCUAGCCUUUCUCAGACUAAGACUCGUACACUUAUAGAGAGUGUUCUGAUUUUCUACUCAAAGUUAUUAUUCGAUCUAGACUCAAGCAAACCAAUACAAAUUCCUGAUUUUGGGAAAACAGACCUUUUGACAGUAAUUCAGGUAUAUAGCUAUAUGCUAACCCUUGCUAGUCAAAGCGUGGUCCAUGGCCCGGCAGCAUUAGCAGCACCUGGGAACUCAUUAGAAAUGCAGAAUAUCAGGCCCCACACCAGACCUACUUAAUCACGCUGGGCAUUUUAACAAGGUCCCCAAGUGAUCUGUGUACGUAUUAAAUGUUGAGAAGCACUGGCCUCACCACACAGCAGUGAUAACCAACAAAAUUAAUAAUCAGAAAAUCAAGCCAUUUCUUCCUGGACCCUCAUCUACAGAAUUAUUUGAGGAAGUAAAGGUCCUAUAUGAUCAUAACGAUUAAAGCAAAUGCAUCUUAAAAUUCCCCUUGAGGUCCUAUAGCUUGGGUGGUGUACACAAAGAAGCAGUCUUUUCCCAGUCUAAUUUUAAAAGUACUCACUUCAUUGCCUUGAGCCACCUCUAAGCACCUUUUUAAGGUUUUCAUUCUAGUGUAUGCUGGCAGGGUCAUCAGAAUAUCAGGUGGCUCCUCAGAGCAGGUCCCCUGGAAGGCCACCUGGCUUUCUGCUCAGCAUAGUACAGAAAUAGCUGCAUCUGUGUUCCUUCCUUGAGAAAUUCACCAUCCCACCAGUGGGAACUCUCCUCCCUACAGGAAACUAGCAAGAGAAGUUAGUUUAACCAUCUAGAAACAUUCCUAAUCUCUUUUAAAACCAAGCCUCUUAUUCAUUAUACCAACCAGACACUCCGAAGUAAGCAAGGAAAUAUGUGAAUUGUGAUAUUGGCGCCAUAAAUCGAUAUGUACCCAGAAACAGUUAUAUUCUGAAUUAAUGGCUUUAACCUGUUCAUUGUAAAAAGUGCCUUGGACUUCAAUCUAAAGAGGUCAGUAUAAAUAUAUAUGUGUGUGUGUGACAUAUGUAGGCAAAUAUUUACAAAUUUAUACGUACAUAGGUGCACACACAUAUACCCGCACAUUCAUAUAUAAUAUAUACAUACAUAUAUAAAUGCUUCAUAAUAUAUCAUAUUGCUAUUCGCAGCUCCAUUUCUUUUGUCUGGUCCUAUGUUUA